UCCGGUUUGAAUUCAUGUGUUCUCGAUCUCGGAUAGCGAACUCUUUUGAUGUUUUGGAACUUAUGACUUAUGACAAGAGAGAAGAAAACUGACUUUAAAAGAAAACCAGUCAUGAGUGAGAUUAAAUCAUAUGAAUGUAUGAUGAAUCAGGAUGUGAUCAUUUGAGGCAUUCACCAAUGUCAUUACUAAUGACAAACAUAAGAAAUGGAGACGGGAGAAUGGAAAGACUGAUCUUCACAGACAGCAGUCAAAACAAAGCAAAAGAAAGCGUUCAGAACUGGAAAGAAGAAAGAAGACCGUGGAACAUCUUAUCUAGACAAGUCAUG